rnacentral:rRNA from 1 species
AUUGAACGCUGGCGGAAUGCUUUACACAUGCAAGUCGAACGGCAGCACGGACUUCGGUCUGGUGGCGAGUGGCGAACGGGUGAGUGAUGUAUCGGAACGUGCCCAGUCGUGGGGGAUAACGUAGUGAAAAUUACGCUAAUACCGCAUACGAUCUAUGGAUGAAAGCGGGGGAUCGCAAGACCGCGCGCGAUUGGAGCGGCCGAUAUCAGAUUAGGUAGUUGGUGGGGUAAAGGCCCACCAAGCCAACGAUCUGUAGCUGGUCUGAGAGGACGACCAGCCACACUGGAACUGAGACACGGUCCAGACUCCUACGGGAGGCAGCAGUGGGGAAUUUUGGACAAUGGGCGAAAGCCUGAUCCAGCCAUUCCGCGUGCAGGAUGAAGGCCCUCGGGUUGUAAACUGCUUUUGUACAGAACGAAAAGGUUUCUACUAAUACUAGGAGCUCAUGACGGUACUGUAAGAAUAAGCACCGGCUAACUACGUGCCAGCAGCCGCGGUAA